GCGCGGCAUGAGGGAUUUUCUCGACCUCCGGGCCUUAUCUAUCGCGAAGAUCCUUUCCCGAGCCGGCUACUAUACAGCGC
rnacentral:misc_RNA from 1 species